ensembl:lncRNA
GUACCCAGCUGCUGGUAGAGGGAGUGAGGCGAUGGUCACCUAGAGCACGGGGCUUCUGUGCCCCUGGCUACCUGAGUGCCUAUGAGCGUUCAGAACCGUGUGGGUUUCAGGCCCAGCUGCAAGCUCAUUGUAAGCACAGCCCUCCUGCUUGAUCUCAGGAAAGGAGCUCCACUUUACAGCCAGUCACGGUAUCACUUCACGUGUCUGGUUGGAGACGCAAGAUUCCACCUCCACUGGGAGAAAUGUCAAGGUCACAGCGUGGAAAGGGGACGCGUCCUUGGAGGAUGCAAUGUGUCAGGACAGCCACCCGAGGAGCCUGGCCCCAGGGCCCUGCAGCUGUGGCGUUUUAUCAUCUGGAGCUGGAACUGUGACCUGGUGGAGGCCCCAUGUGACGUGGCUCCUCCUGCUGCUCCUGGACUUUCUCCUUGGCAGCGCUCACCAGGCUCAGGGCUCUCUGUUAACCAGCUGUCCCCUUCUCUGGACUGGAAGCCCCACAGGGAGGGGAAUUCUGGUUCAUCGUGUUCACUUUAUCAUCAGGCCCUAGCACAGAUCCUGACGUGUACGUAUUUGUUAAACAAACACAAGGGAAUAAAUACAGGGAAUGAUAAAUGCUCUGGCAGUGAGAGUCCUCUAUGAUGAUCCUCUCUUCCCCGGGAUGACCUUACAUGGAGGUGGA